rnacentral:rRNA from 1 species
AUUGAACGCUGGCGGCAGGCCUAACACAUGCAAGUCGAGCGGAGCGGCGGACGGAUGAGUAAUGAAUAGGAAUCUGCCUUGUCGUUGGGGAUAACGUCCGGUAAGGGGCGCUAAUAUCGCAUAGUCUCAGAUGAGCCUAGGUCGGAUUAGCUAGUUGGUGGGGUAAAGGCGUACCAAGGCGACGAGCCGUAACAGGUCUGAGAGGAUGAUCAGUCACCCUGGAACUGAGACACGGUCCAGACUCCAACGGGAGGCGGCAGUGGGGAAUAUUGGACAAUGGGCGAAAGCCUGAUCCAGCCAUGCCGCGUGUUUGAAGAAGGUCUUCGGAUUGUAAAGCACUUUAAGUUGGGAGGCGUUACCAACAGAAUAAGCACCGGCUAACUUCGUGCCAGCAGCCGCGGUAAUUC